UGGGGAAUAUUGCACAAUGGGCGAAAGCCUGAUGCAGCAACGCCGCGUGAGGGACGACGGCCUUCGGGUUGUAAACCUCUUUAGCAAGGAAGAAGCGAAAGUGACGGUACUUGCAGAAAAAGCGCCGGCUAACUACGUGCCAGCAGCCGCGGUAAUACGUAGGGCGCAAGCGUUAUCCGGAAUUAUUGGGCGUAAAGAGCUCGUAGGCGGUUUGUCGCGUCUGCUGUGAAAACCCGAGGCUCAACCUCGGGCCUGCAGUGGGUACGGGCAGACUAGAGUGCGGUAGGGGAGAUUGGAACUCCUGGUGUAGCGGUGGAAUGCGCAGAUAUCAGGAAGAACACCGAUGGCGAAGGCAGAUCUCUGGGCCGUAACUGACGCUGAGGAGCGAAAGGGUGGGGAGCAAACAGGCUUAGAUACCCUGGUAGUCCACCCCGUAAACGUUGGGAACUAGUUGUGGGGUCCAUUCCACGGAUUCCGUGACGCAGCUAACGCAUUAAGUUCCCGCCUGGGGAGUACGGCCGCAAGGCU
rnacentral:rRNA from 1 species